rnacentral:rRNA from 1 species
UACGUAGGCAGCAAACGUUGUUCGGAGUUACUGGGCGUAAAGGGUGCGUAGGUGGCUCUAUAAGUAUGGUGUGAAAUCUCCCGGCUUAACUGGGAGGGUGCGCCGUAGACUGUGGGGCUAGAGUGUGGGAGAGGAAAGUGGAAUUCCUGGUGUAGCGGUGAAAUGCGUAGAUAUCAGGAGGAACACCGGUGGUGUAAACGGCUUUCUGGACCAUAACUGACACUGAGGCACGAAAGCGUGGGUAGCAAACAGG